AUUUGCUUAAUAUACAUAGUAUAUUUGACUUCCAAUCAAAAAGACUAAUUUUUAGAGUAAAUA
rnacentral:tRNA from 1 species